UCCGGAAUGGUGUAGUGGUUGGAAUUUCUGCCUUUCAAGUUGCACCGAGCAAUGAAAGCUCGCAUGAGACCGGCGUUCAAUUCCCCGUUCCGGAA